rnacentral:rRNA from 1 species
GACGAACGCUGGCGGCGGGCUUAACACAUGCAAGUCGAACGGAAAGGCCCUGCUUUUGUGGGGUGCUCGAGUGGCGAACGGGUGAGUAACACGUGAGUAACCUGCCCUUGACUUUGGGAUAACUUCAGGAAACUGGGGCUAAUACCGGAUAGGAGCCGCUGCUGCAUGGUGGGGGUUGGAAAGUUUCGGCCGUUGGGGAUGGACGCGCGGCUUAUCAGCUUGUUGGUGGGGUAGUGGCUUACCAAGGCUGUGACGGGUAGCCGGCCUGAGAGGGUGACCGGCCACAUUGGGACUGAGAUACGGACCAGUGUCCAACGGGAGGCAGCAGUGGGGAAUAUUGCACAGUGGGCGGAAGCCUGAUGCAGCAACGCUGCGUGCGUGAUGACGGCUUUCGGGGUGUAAACCGCUUUCGCCUGUGACGAAGCGUUAGUGACGGUAAUGGAUAAAGAAGCACCGGCUAACUACGUG